rnacentral:rRNA from 1 species
UACGUAGGGCGCAAGCGUUGUCCGGAAUUAUUGGGCGUAAAGAGCUCGUAGGCGGCCUGUUGCGUCCGCUGUGAAAUCCCGGGGCUUAACCCCGGGCGUGCAGUGGAUACGGGCAGGCUGGAGGCAGGCAGGGGAGAACGGAAUUCCCGGUGUAGCGGUGAAAUGCGCAGGUAUCGGGAGGAACACCGGUGGCGAAGGCGGUUCUCUGGGCCUGUACUGACGCUGAGGAGCGAAAGCGUGGGGAGCGAACAGG